UACAGAGGGGGCAAGCGUUGUUCGGAAUUACUGGGCGUAAAGGGCGCGUAGGCGGCUCGACAAGUCCCGCGUGAAAGCCCCCGGCUCAACUGGGGAACUGCGCGGGAAACUGUCGGACUUGAGUUCGGGAGAGGGAAGCGGAAUUCCGGGUGUAGCGGUGAAAUGCGUAGAUAUCCGGAGGAACACCGGUGGCGAAGGCGGCUUCCUGGACCGACACUGACGCUGAGGCGCGAAAGCUAGGGGAGCAAACGGG
rnacentral:rRNA from 1 species